rnacentral:rRNA from 1 species
AUACGGAGGGUGCAAGCGUUAAUCGGAAUUACUGGGCGUAAAGCGUACGUAGGCGGUUCGUUAAGUUAGAUGUGAAAGCCCCGGGCUUAACCUGGGAACUGCAUUUAAAACUGGCGAACUAGAGUUGAGUAGAGGGGAGUGGAAUUUCAGGUGUAGCGGUGAAAUGCGUAGAGAUCUGAAGGAACACCAGUGGCGAAGGCGGCUUCCUGGACUCAAACUGACGCUGAGGUACGAAAGCGUGGGUAGCAAACGGGAUUAGAAACCCUAGUAGUCC